UACGGAGGGUGCAAGCGUUAAUCGGAAUUACUGGGCGUAAAGCGCACGCAGGUGGCUGAGUCAGUCGAUUGUGAAAGCCCUGGGCUUAACCUGGGAAUUGCAGUCGAUACUACUCAGCUAGAGUAUGGGAGAGGGCAGUGGAAUUCCCGGUGUAGCGGUGGAAUGUGUAGAUAUCAGGAAGAACAUCGGUGGCGAAGGCGGCUUGCUGGGCCCUUACUGACGCUGAGGCUCGAAAGCGUGGGGAGCAAACGGG
rnacentral:rRNA from 1 species